UACGGAGGGUGCAAACGUUGCUCGGAAUUAUUGGGCGUAAAGCGCACGUAGGCGGUCUAGCAAGUCGGGUGUGAAAGCCCUCAGCUUAACUGAGGAAGUGCAUUCGAAAACUACUAGGCUUGAGUACUGAAGAGGACGACGGAAUUCCCGGUGUAGCGGUGAAAUGCGCAGAUAUCGGGAAGAACACCUAUGGCGAAGGCAGCUCUCUGGGACGGUACUGACGCUGAGACGCGAAAGCGUGGGGAGCAAACAGG
rnacentral:rRNA from 1 species